AGAGCGAACGCUGGCGGCAGGCCUAACACAUGCAAGUCGAGCGCCCCGCAAGGGGAGCGGCAGACGGGUGAGUAACGCGUGGGAACAUACCCUCCGGUUCGGAAUAGCUCAGGGAAACUUGGAUUAAUACCGGAUACGGCCUAGCGGCGAAAGAUUCAUCGCCGGAGGAUUGGCCCGCGUUCGAUUAGCUAGUUGGUGAGGUAACGGCUCACCAAGGCGACGAUCGAUAGCUGGUCUGAGAGGAUGAUCAGCCACAUUGGGACUGAGACACGGCCCAAACUCCUACGGGAGGCAGCAGUGGGGAAUAUUGGACAAUGGGCGCAAGCCUGAUCCAGCCAUGCCGCGUGAGUGAUGACGGCCUUAGGGUUGUAAAGCUCUUUCGCUAGGGACGAUAAUGACGGUACCUAGACAAGAAGCCCCGGCUAACUUCGUGCCAGCAGCCGC
rnacentral:rRNA from 1 species